CUCCUCUGGUGCUAUGAGUCCUGUUCCCAUCCCAUACCAUUCCUAUCCUCUUUUCUAUUCCAUCCCUACACUCAUGCCAUGCCAUCCCAUCCCACCUACCUUCCUCACCACUAUCUCCUCUUCCAUCCCAUUCCAUUUCCACCUCCCAUCCCACAGCCUACCUCUCCACAGCCCACGCACUCCCUCCUCCCUGGCGAUGGUCCUGUAGGCAUCCACGGUGCCGCUGUACCGACGGUUGCUCUCUGGCAGUGCCCCCAGAGCCUGGAACCGCACCUUGACCACGUCGGUGGGUUGGGCACACGUCACCGCCACGGCCCCCGUGGUGCAGCCCGCCAGCAGCCGCGCCAGCAGCCCUGUGCCUGGGGAGGGCACGGGUUGGAGACCCCAUCCCGUGCCACCGAGCUGCUUCACAGAGUCGUAGAGCCCGAUGCGGAUGGAGGCGAAGCUCAUCUGCCGCUGCAGCCCGGCCACCAGCCCGCUAUAGAGGCUGCGGGGCCCCUCGGUGCGCACCAUGGUGCUCAGCGUGCCCAGCACACCCCGGUACUCCACCGUGUUGGUGCUGCGUGGGAUCCUCACCUCGCCCUGGAUCUGUGGGGUGCCCACCGCGUCACCCUGCCCUCCGUGCCCCAGCUGUCCCCACUCGGUGGCAUCGCCGUGGUGGCUCCCGGCGCUGUGGGAGCUCCAUCCGCCCAUGGGGUUCUCGGGGCUUUACCUGCAGCCUCACUUUGGCAGUGUCCAGGGGGAAGGUGCAGAGGUCAGCGAUGCAGGCGGCCGUCCCGGCGCUGAAGAACUUCACGGCGGCCGUGGGGGGCACCUCGGGGGGCUUCAGGCCCACCAUGAUGGCUGGGGGGGAACGCAAAGGUUGGCAGUGGGAUGCAGCGUCCUAUGGGGCUCCUGGCUCACGGAUAGAGAUGACGCUUCGCUGCCACAGCUCUGGUUGGCUUCAGACAAGCACAGAAUCAAAUCCCGCUCUGUUUCUCUGCAUCCUUAGGGAAACUGAGGCCCGGAGCAGCCUGGUGCAGCCCGCUGACCCCUGCUGUCCCACAGGGCCUUACCGCGGGCGCUCAGCUCCGUGUCCCCAUCUCACUCCUGCGUGGCCUCGAGCGCCAGCUCCUGCCCCCCUUAUAUAGCACCCAGAGGACAUUCCAGC
rnacentral:lncRNA from 1 species